AGACGUGCGGCUACCUGUACAUGCAGUCGAACGCUUCUUUCCUCCCGAGUGCUUGCACUCAAUUGGAAAGAGGAGUGGCGGACGGGUGAGUAACACGUGGGUAACCUACCCAUCAGAGGGGGAUAACACUUGGAAACAGGUGCUAAUACCGCAUAACAGUUUAUGCCGCAUGGCAUAAGAGUGAAAGGCGCUUUCGGGUGUCGCUGAUGGAUGGACCCGCGGUGCAUUAGCUAGUUGGUGAGGUAACGGCUCACCAAGGCCACGAUGCAUAGCCGACCUGAGAGGGUGAUCGGCCACACUGGGACUGAGACACGGCCCAGACUCCUACGGGAGGCAGCAGUAGGGAAUCUUCGGCAAUGGACGAAAGUCUGACCGAGCAACGCCGCGUGAGUGAAGAAGGUUUUCGGAUCGUAAAACUCUGUUGUUAGAGAAGAACAAGGACGUUAGUAACUGAACGUCCCCUGACGGUAUCUAACCAGAAAGCCACGGCUAACUACGUGCCAGCAGCCGCGGUAAUACGUAGGUGGCAAGCGUUGUCCGGAUUUAUUGGGCGUAAAGCGAGCGCAGGCGGUUUCUUAAGUCUGAUGUGAAAGCCCCCGGCUCAACCGGGGAGGGUCAUUGGAAACUGGGAGACUUGAGUGCAGAAGAGGAGAGUGGAAUUCCAUGUGUAGCGGUGAAAUGCGUAGAUAUAUGGAGGAACACCAGUGGCGAAGGCGGCUCUCUGGUCUGUAACUGACGCUGAGGCUCGAAAGCGUGGGGAGCAAACAGGAUUAGAUACCCUGGUAGUCCACGCCGUAAACGAUGAGUGCUAAGUGUUGGAGGGUUUCCGCCCUUCAGUGCUGCAGCAAACGCAUUAAGCACUCCGCCUGGGGAGUACGACCGCAAGGUUGAAACUCAAAGGAAUUGACGGGGGCCCGCACAAGCGGUGGAGCAUGUGGUUUAAUUCGAAGCAACGCGAAGAACCUUACCAGGUCUUGACAUCCUUUGACCACUCUAGAGAUAGAGCUUUCCCUUCGGGGACAAAGUGACAGGUGGUGCAUGGUUGUCGUCAGCUCGUGUCGUGAGAUGUUGGGUUAAGUCCCGCAACGAGCGCAACCCUUAUUGUUAGUUGCCAUCAUUUAGUUGGGCACUCUAGCGAGACUGCCGGUGACAAACCGGAGGAAGGUGGGGAUGACGUCAAAUCAUCAUGCCCCUUAUGACCUGGGCUACCACCGUGCUACAAUGGGAAGUACAACAAGUCGCUUGACCGCGAGGUCUUGCAAAUUCUUUAAAGUUUCUUCAUUUCGGAUUGGAGGGUGGAACUCCCCUGCUAAACCGGAACCCUAUUAAUCCGGAUAAGCAGCCCCGGGGAAAAAUUUCCCGGGUUGUUAGCCCGCGGUCACCACCCAAAUUUUGUACCCCCAUUCUUCG
rnacentral:rRNA from 1 species